GCGCUUUAGCCCGCGGUGGGGACAUUACCGAAGUUACAACUCCCAAACCCAAUGUGAACGUUACCAAACUGUUGCCUCGGCGGGGUCACGCCCCGGGUGCGUCGCAGCCCCGGAACCAGGCGCCCGCCGGAGGAACCAACCAAACUCUUUCUGUAGUCCCCUCGCGGACGUAUUUCUUACAGCUCUGAACAAAAAUUCAAAAUGAAUCAAAACUUUCAACAACGGAUCUCUUGGUUCUGGCAUCGAUGAAGAACGCAGCGAAAUGGGAUAAGUAAUGUGAAUUGCAGAAUUCAGUGAAUCAUCGAAUCUUUGAACGCACAUUGCGCCCGCCAGUAUUCUGGCGGGCAUGCCUGUCCGAACGUCAUUUCAACCCUCGAACCCCUCCGGGGGAUCGGCGUUGGGGAUCGGGACCCCUCACACGGGUGCCGGCCCCGAAAUACAGUGGCGGUCUCGCCGCAACCUCUCCUGGGCAGUAAUUUGCACAACUCGCACCGGGAGCGCGGCGCGUCCACGUCCGUAAAACACCCAACUUUCUGAAAUGGUGACCUCGGAUCAAGUAGGAAUACCCGCUGAACUUAAGCAUACGGAGGGUUGGAAAA
rnacentral:rRNA from 1 species